CUGAAGUCGGAAUUAUUUUCUAGAGGCGGUAUUUGUGGGCCUCUGCAUCCCUGGAACCCGUGGAGAGGAUACCUGACGUGGCAAAAGGGCCUUUGCAAUGUGAUGAAGUUAGGAACCUUGAGACGCUGCAGUUGAAAAGAAGUGCCACUUUUCCACUCUACCUACAAGAGGAGCUCACUGUGCCUCAGUCCAUCCAGAGGACAGGAUAGUUAAGAUUGAAAGAACUAAAAAGGCACUAUUGCACUCUUGUUCCACAACCAGGCAACCCCAAAACUGGGAUCCUCAGCAAUGAGUCAAGGGGGUUAGAAGACACUGUAUAAACAUGGCAUAUCUUCUGAGAAAGUCGGCUCUACUCAAAGCACAGGGAGGAUCGAUGAACUCCAUUUAAGGAAGUAUCGCUGAAUGACAGGAGUCAUUGAUGAAUGCAAGUAUCACUUUUUAACACUGAUUCCUGGAGGCACAGUGCUUAAAAUGAGCAAAUAGGACCAAUUUCCAGACUGCUGGAAAGUUUCUUUGGGCACUUUGGAAACUCUGAAUCCAUUUAAAAAAAGAAGUCUGUGGCCCUGCAUGUUACUCUAGCAGGUAUGGAUUGAGCCAUUGAAUUCUUUUCAUUUGCCAUCAUUUUCUCUGAGGUUGAACGUUCAUAAUGAUUUAUUUCAGUAGUUAGCUAAAAUAUUUGUGUCCUAUUUAAGCAAACUAAUGGAGAGGACAGCAUUCAGGACUUUGAAGAAUGGAAAUGGGACAAUUGAGCUUUGGAAAAAAAUGUAUCAUCAGCUAUGUAGAAAGCCAGAAUUUGGUAUAGACGAAUUAAUUGUGACUCAAUUUUGCUCUAAUACCCUUGAGGACAUCAGACGUUAAUCUCCGCUCUCUCCUUUGGAGAAUCUACUGAAAAAUUUAAGUGAGCGAGAGGUGGACUAAAUUAGAGUUUUCCUGAAAGCCAUGAUUGAAAUUUAUCAUCACGCGUGGGCUAGGUUAUCCCUCAAUGUAUCAGCCCACUAAUUUAGAAACCUUCCUUCUUUGUCGUGAAAAUCAAUUUAAUGUCACUAAUAAUUGUUUCUUUGUUAAAUCAGGGAAGUUGUAAAGAUUGUUACGAGUGUUUGAGGGGUUGGUGGAGAACAACAAAUACUGGUUUAUUUCAGAAUAACAGGACCAAGGUGGACCUAUACAUUUAUUCUCUUAGACCAAAUCUAUUCUUAGACCCAUUCGUCUCCAGAUGUUGCCAUCUUUGGAGCCAUACAUCAUCAGAGUAAGGUGCUUUUAUAAUGUAUUGCACUAAUACAUCGUGCGAAGGACAGCACUGAUGAUAAAUUUCUUAAAUGAUGGUGCUGUCUAAGGCUAAUGACUCUCAGAGCAAAUGCAAGGUAAUGCAGUGAUUUCUUUUCAGUCCCCAGCAAAGAAUACAGAAGACAUCUAAAAAUCAUUUUCACAUGGAGGUAAUAUUGAAAUAGAUGGUAUUUCAAGGCCUUUGCAGCAGACACUUAGGCAAUAUUAAAGCAAAUGUAAAUGGCUUUGCAUUUUUAGUUAAAACCCAUUUAAUGCUUUCCCUGAUGGGAGUUAAGUUUUUUUUUUUUUCAAGUAAAUUUUUAAAGAAGUAUCCCUCACCUGAAGUUGUCUCUCUUUGUGGAUAUGAUGUGUCUUGUACUUUUUGAAUGG